rnacentral:rRNA from 1 species
AUUUCCCUCUGGCGGCAGGCCUAACACAUGCAAGUCGAGCGGAUGAAGGGAGCUUGCUCCUGGAUUCAGCGGCGGACGGGUGAGUAAUGCCUAGGAAUCUGCCUGGUAGUGGGGGAUAACGUCCGGAAACGGGCGCUAAUACCGCAUACGUCCUGAGGGAGAAAGUGGGGGAUCUUCGGACCUCACGCUAUCAGAUGAGCCUAGGUCGGAUUAGCUAGUUGGUGGGGUAAAGGCCUACCAAGGCGACGAUCCGUAACUGGUCUGAGAGGAUGAUCAGUCACACUGGAACUGAGACACGGUCCAGACUCCUACGGGGGGCAGCAGUGGGGAAUAUUGGACAAUGGGCGAAAGCCUGAUCCAGCCAUGCCGCGUGUGUGAAGAAGGUCUUCGGAUUGUAAAGCACUUUAAGUUGGGAGGAAGGGCAGUAAGUUAAUACCUUGCUGUUUUGACGUUACCAACAGAAUAAGCACCGGCUAACUUCGUG